UUUUCAAGCCCUGACUUUACG
rnacentral:misc_RNA from 1 species